rnacentral:rRNA from 1 species
GGAGGAUCCAAGCGUUAUCCGGAUUUAUUGGUUUAAAGGGUGCGUAGGCGGCCUAUUGAGUCAGGGGUGAAAGACGGUAGCUUAACUAUCGCAGUGCCUUUGAUACUGAUGGGCUUGAACGAACUAGAGGUAGGCGGAAUGUGACAAGUAGCGGUGAAAUGCAUAGAUAUGUCACAGAACACCAAUUGCGAAGGCAGCUUACUAUGGUUUUAUUGACGCUGAGGCACGAAAGCGUGGGGAUCAAACAGGAUUAGAUACCCUGGUAGUCCACGCCCUAAACGAUGAACACUCGAUGUUAGCGAUAUACAGUUAGCGUCUAAGCGAAAGCGUUAAGUGUUCCACCUGGGGAGUACGCCCGCAAGGGUG